UUGGAGGGCAAGUCUGGUGCCAGCAGCCGCGGUAAUUCCAGCUCCAAUAGCGUAUAUUAAAGUUGUUGCAGUUAAAAAGCUCGUAGUUGAAUUUCGGGGUCAGUAGGCUGGUCGUGCCUCAGGUACGUACUGGUCUUACUGAUUCCUCCUUCCUGACGAACCGUAAUGCCAUUAAUUUGGUGUUGCGGGGAAUCUGGACUGUUACUUUGAAAAAAUUAGAGUGUUUAAAGCAGGCUAACGCUUGGAUACAUUAGCAUGGAAUAAUGAAAUAGGACGAUCGAUCCUAUUUUGUUGGUUUCUAGGAUUGACGUAAUGAUUAAUAGGGAUAGUUGGGGGCAUUAGUAUUCAAUUGUCAGAGGUGAAAUUCUUGGAUUUAUUGAAGACUAACUACUGCGAAAGCAUUUGCCAAGGAUGUUUUCAUUAAUCAAGAACGAAAGUUAGGGGAUCGAAGACGAUCAGAUACCGUCGUAGUCUUAACCAUAAACUAUGCCGACUAGGGAUCGGAUGAUGUUAAUUUUUUAAUGACUCAUUCGGCGCCUUACGGGAAA
rnacentral:rRNA from 1 species